UAAAAAUGAAAUGGAGAAAUCUUCAGAUAAAAUCCGUCUGCCUUUGAAACCAACUGUCAGCCCCUAAUGUGAGUGGACAUUUUGUUAAUAGAGGUGAGGAAGGGGAAGUCUCUCCACGCGUGGAGCAAAUCCUAAUUGUACUAUGAAUUUGAAGAGCUUAAAAUUCUAAUUAAUGAAAUUGAUGCUCAUCACCCAGCCUGAAAUAGGGCAUAGAAACCAAUGCACUUACCACCCUAGAGAAUGAUUGAAACUGCAUGCCCUAUGAUAUACGUAUUAGUGGGAUCUAUGCCGAAGAGUGGAUUUUGUUUGCUCCCCCAUCAAAGGACUCGUGGGAUGGAUGGUGGUUAUUUUAAUUGGUAGCACGCAGCAGUGCUCCACUAUUUAAUCAUUGCUUCUAAAAACGGAACAGCGGCCUAGAGGAUAUGGCUGUGCCCUAGAAAGUCGGGCUAGAGAAUCCUGCGUAGGAGGGCUACGAGCUUUCAUAAAUGCUACGACAUUAAGUUUUCCUUCGAGACUGAGUCUCUAAUUUUGUCAACAAGAAUGACCCCCAAGGCUGGCGUUCAAAGCAAGUGUUUAUUAAAGUGCACCCCAAGACCUCCUGCCUCAAAAUUGAAUUACACUUGUCAGAGUGUCUUUUAAAAAUGAAGGCGAGUCUGCCUCAGAGUGCUUUAAAAUUGGAUGAGCUUCUGUGUUACACUGUUGAACAGCAAACUGGAUAUCGAAGUAUCUUUCCUGAGUACCAUAGUUCUAAAUAGACAGACUGGACACCGCCAGGGCCUCUAAAGGGAACCGCUAAACUAUUUGAAGGAGAAAAGCACUCAUUAAUAUUUGAGAGCCUGCAAGACGGCGAGGCUCCAUCGGCUGUCAGCAUUCCCAAGAAAAGAGAGAGCCAGCAUUGGGGGCAGCCACAGUGGGCUGCCCACAACGGGCUAUUGACCUCCCCGUGAAGCAGAUAUCAGCCGACAGAGCCUGCCUAUCUCAGCAGUCGAGCUGGAAACAGGAGAAAGUGUUAAAUAUAACCAGAUUGCAAGCUCCUUGAAGUCCAUGACUCCAUCUACAACCUAAGGACUGAGUCCUGGGAUAAUUGAGCUGGAAAGGACCUGAGGAGUCAUCUAGUUCAACCCCUUGCCUACUUUUACAGAUGAGGUUCAGCUCAAAUGCCAUCAUGUAUACCAUCACAAGGAGUUUUUCCUGUUUUCAUCACUCCUCCUACACUGAAAUUACCUUAUAUGUACCUCCCAGCAUGGCCUCCAGAAGGCACGCGUAAGGAAGAGAAUAUGCAGAGUAAGCACGCCCAAGGAGACCCCGCUUCCUCUCCAAACAGCUGUUGGGGAAUAAAGGAAAGCAGAAUAAGGCCUCUGUGACCCGCACAAACAGCCCGCUAGCAGAUGCGAGGAGAACAGGACUGCAGAGACAGGAUGGACGGAGGAGAGGAGGCGUCACCGGGGCUUUCGAAGCCUCAGUACCGAGGGACACAUUUGUGAAGAAAUGUGACAGAGCAGAUCCAAAGCCCAACUUCAAGUCCAGCCUUUGAGAUAUACUAGUUGUGAGUCUGUGGAGCUGGAAGGAAACUCUGAGUCCACGGAGUCCAAUCCUCCUCAUUUCACAGUCAAGGAAACUGAAGCCCCAGCCACACAGGUAUUGCUAAAGGCAGGAUCUGAAGCCUGGUCCUUUAACACCAGAAGCAUGGUGAUUUGGAGCCAGAACUCCAGAAGCAUUUAAACUCCAGAACCAUGGUACCUUGGAAAAGACCAACCUUUAUAUAAUAAUUUCUCACCAAAGUUUUUUAAGACUGUGGCUCUCUAUAUAAUAAGAUUUGUAGUCUCAUAUACAAUCCUCUCUUUUUCUACUCUCUGUAAAUAUACACAGAGACAAUAUA